rnacentral:lncRNA from 1 species
UUAAGGUUAAUUAUGAUGGGGCUUGGAGUGGGAAGACGAUGAAGGGGUUAUGGGUGGGUCAUGCGUGAUUUUGAUGAGUUAAGGGACCAAUGAUUACACAUUUUUAGUUGAGGGACCAUCACUCUAUUGGAAACAUGCUCUAAACCCAAUCAUAUGAUGAUACUUUACGGACAUUUCACAUGUUAAACUAAACUAGUUUAAUAUAAGGGCAAAAAUUAUUGUUUAAAGCGAUAUCUUAUAGAUGUUAUAUGCUUAAACAAUAAGCAUGAGGAAUAUGUAUUUAAAAGAAUGUGUUAUAAAGAAGUUAGAUUCAUGAGAUCAUUCUCUUUCGUACACAUAUCCUAAAUGUUCUUGAUCAUAUGAUUGCCAAUUAGGUAUUGACGAUUCGUUAAUAUCAGUACAUGCUAUGUCUUCUCUUUGGAAGAGUGACUGGUCUCAAGUCAUUAGUGUGAUUUACACCAAGAUAAGUAUGUAGGUGCUCAAUAGAGAAUGAGUCCACUGAAUGCGAUCAACAAGAAGUUCUCGUACUCAUGUCACAUGAGAACUCAUGGUUGGGAUAAUGCAAAGUAGUAAUUUAACCUGAAAUACCAUAGUUGUCUUAUGGUUAGGUCCUUAAUCUUUGAUUAUGCUAAAGGCAUUCCAUUGAAGGUGUCCACGGCAUCGUUAAGGUUAAGCUACCUACUUGUAGAGGCAUAUGAGUGUGCAACAAGGGAUCUCUAACCUUCAAAUUGUUGAAGGAGAAUACUUUAUGAUAUAAUUAAGAGUCUAUGACAUAUUAUAUGAAUAUGAUUUAGGAAGUAUGUUCCAAAUCACAUUCAAAGUAAUCAUAUAAACGAGAGGAUCACAUUGUAUAGUAGACAUGAAUAAACUAUCAUCCAAACGAUGUGAUUGAUAGGAGCAUAUUUAUGCGACUUAGUUAACAUGUUUUCUUGCACUUACUUAGUUAGUUAUUGCUUAUAAGAGUGUUUUAAAUCAUUUUCGUAUGUUUGUAGGUCCUAAUAACAAAGUUGGCAAGAAAAGUGCAUUUUGGUGCAUUUUGGAGCAAUUUUGGGCUGAAAUGGAUUGCAUGCACUUGGAGACAUGAGGAUGGACGUUUUGGGAAGAUUAGAAUUCAGCAUAUGUGUGUGCAAAUGGGCAAAGGAAACACACACACAUGGGCAAAGAGAAAAGCACACAUGGACAACUUGGCAUGGACAGGUUGGAGGGCAGAAAAUGUGUUUGUUUUGUGCUUGAAAUGAUGAGGAACAUGUGUGUGCAAAUGGGCAAAGGAAACACACACACAUGGGCAAAGGAAAGGCAUGGCAUGGGCAGAAAAUACACCACUACAUUCACUCAUUACCACAACACUCACCCUUGUCCCCUUCAUUAUUUCUGUUUUCAUGCACCAUUACAUUUAAUCAUUGCACUCAAGUGGUGCACAUCCCUUGUCCCCUUCACCUAUCAGAUUUCAUUCACUUUCACCUCCACUACAUGCACUCAUUGAUGCACCACUCCUCCACUUUCCUUGCCCAUGCCGUGCAUCAUGAAUCCACCUGCACCUAUGACUCAUUUCUGCACCAUUCCACCUCCCUUUCCUUUAUCUACCAUGUGCGUAAUCAUUCAUGUUCCCCACUUGCAUUCAUAGCUGCAACACCACUCCAUUUCACCCUCCAUGCUUUGCAUCAUUACUUCACUUUCACCACUGAAUCAUUGCUAACACCACCAUCCAUCCCUCCAUGCCAUACACUUCCUCUAUAAAAGGAAGUGUGUGUGGCAGCCAUUACAUAGAGUUUUUUUUGCUUGAGAAUUCAUCCUCAUUUCGAUACAACCUUUAUCCAAACACUUCCAUUCAUCCUCACAUCCAUUCCUCCAUACAAACAAACCUUCAAACACUUACCAACACCUUGUGUCGUAUCAAAGGAAGGAAAGGAAAGUGCUUGGAUGUGCUUGCUGUCCAACUUGGAUCGUUGGAGCAUUUAGGUGUUUUCUUUCUUUUGUUUUCAAUGUCUAAAUUUGUUUAUCUUUGCUUUGUAAGUAUGAGAAACUAAACCCCCCUUAGCUAGGGGGGAAUUCGAAACUAUGUACAUGCUUGCAAUAUGAUUUGAUUACUUUCAGUUGUGAUUCAUAAGUUGUGAAUUCAAUUUACUUAUCCAUUUAAAUUAAAACUGAUUUGUGUAUGUUGGUUGAGAGUGCACGCUUAAUUUCCAUGCAUAAAUAUGAUGCUAGGAUAUAAGGGAGUUUCACCUAAUCGUUAUGAACUUAUAUUCACAAGUUGUAAAGGUUGUUCGUCACAACCAUGUUAAGUAAAUUCUUGGCAUAAGUUUCAUGCAAUUCAUAGUUACAAGUGCUUCGUCAAUGCUUAUGAUUUUCAUAGAACUUAAUGAUUCUUGCUUGUAUCUCUAUUAUGCAAUUCAUGUAGGGAACUUGUGGGGAAUGCUUUGGGUUGUUGUAUGCAAUCAUCCAAUUCAAUGAAAUUAGGAAAAUCUGAGGAUUAAUUUAAGUGUACCGAAUUAAUCUGGGGUGUUGAGGUUCACGGUUUAUUCAAAAGCAACUGGAAAUCAUUUUAUAUGCAAGUGUGUCCUGUGUGGAGAAAGACCUUCUAGCUUGCCCAUCAUCCAUUCAAAUCACCAAAUUCGUCCAAAAUUUGUUUUAAGUCUUUAGUUACUUGUUUUUACUUAAAUUCAUCCAAAACCAAAUCCCCCUUUACUUUAGAGUGUCUAAUUAGUCAGAAUAUGUCCUAGUUGUGUUUUUAAGUGUUUUGAGUUAAGAUAAAAUCAAUUUUCGUCCAAACUUUGUGUUAGUGGCUGAAACUGCCUUAUAGUUGUUUUUAGGCAGUUUUGAGUCUCUAUAAUCAGUUUUGAGUCUUGUGACUUUGUUUUGAGUCCUGUAAGUUUAAUUUCAUACUUUUAAGUUAGUUUUCACAUAUUUAAGUCAGUUUCAAGUGUUUUAGCAAUCCCUUCUAAUUCCCGGCCUAGAACGAUCCCUACUUACAUUCUUUACUACAAUUGACAACAAGAGGGUUUAAUUUGUGUGUUAAGUUAUUUUCGCAUCAAAUUUUUGGCGCCGUUGCCGGGGAUUAGCAACAUUGCUAAUCCCUUGUUAUUUCUUUUUUCGUUUAUUUUCGUGUGUUUUUAUGUUAGUUACUGACCUUGUUUGUUUUCUUGUUUUAGGUACCAGUUUAUGACUCGGAGUUCUCAUUCGAUUUGUGAGCAUAUCUUGGACUUUGACGACGAUUUUGAGAGGACUUUGAGAAGGAAUAGGAAUCAGCAAGAUCGUAACCCACCUACGCCUGAACCUGAGUUGGAAGAACAUCCACUUGAAGAAGAGGAGGAAGAUCCCAACAUGGCAGCAGAUAAUCGAACAAUCAACGAGCUUUCCGCUUCGGGAUUAGACAAUGCCGCUCCCCUAUGCGUCCAAUACCCCCUGGCUGCCCUAGGGAAGACGGAAAAGUUCGAAUUGAAAUCAAGUUUGUUGCAUCACAUCCCUAAGUUCCACGGGAUGUCCAUGGAAGAUCCUAAUAAACACUUGAAGGAGUUCGAGGUUGUUUGUUCGAGCAUGACCUUUGUGAAUGUUGAUGGGAGCAUUCUGAAAAUGAAGGCUUUUACCUUUUCUCUCUUAGAAAAGGCUAAAGAUUGGAUGUAUGAGCUAGCCCCCGGAACUGUCACAUCAUGGGAGAGUAUGAAACGGGCAUUUUUGGAGAAGUUUUUCCCAACCUUUCGAGUCAUUCUACUACGCAAAAAGAUUAGUGGCAUUCAGCAAAACCAAGGUGAAUCAUUUCCUACUUACUAUGAGCGUUUUAAAACCCUUGUUGCUUCAUGUCCACAUCACCAGAUGAAGGAGAAGCUUCUUCUUCAAUAUUUGUACGAAGGGCUUCUACCAAUUGAACGCCAAAUGCUAGACGCCUCCGUGGGAGGAGCUUUGGUGGACAAAACACCCAUGGCUGCCAAGACCUUAAUUGCUAACCGAGCAUUGAAUGCUCAACAAUAUGAGGGCAUUGGUCAAAGAGACACCCCACGGUAGCAAGUGAAUGAGGUAAGUUCCACAUUCGACAUUCAAUCACAGUUAGCUAAUCUUACUUCUAUUGUGUCUCAGAUGGCCGAAGGAAUGAGGAUGAAAAAACCAAGUGUAUGUGGUGUGUGUUCUAUCCAAGGACAUGCCUCAGAAUAGUGCCCUCAAUUGAUUGAAAAUGGUGGAUGGGAAAACGCAAAUGCAAUUGAAUUUUAAGGCCACAACCAGCCAAGGAACGAUCCAUAUUCUAAUACAUACAAUCCAGGUUGGAGAAACCAUCCAAAUUUCAAGUGGAGGGAGCCCCAACAAUCCCAACAACAAGGAGGCUUUAGGCAGCAACCUCCAGGCUUCUAUACCAAGCAAUACGCACCAACACAAGCCCCACAACAACCUGCCCAAAACACCUCAGGUACAUCUUUAGAUAAUGACACACUUCUUAAGUUACUCACCAAUCUGUCUCAGGGGCAAGAAAAUCAAGCCAAAGCAAUGCAAAACCAAGACAAAAGGGUGGACCAAAUGGAGAAGCAAAUUGGGCAGAUUGCGGAGUUUGUAGGACAAUUCAGAGAGCAAGGUAAGUUGCCUAGUUCAACCGUUCUCAACUCGAAUGGAGGAUUUGAAUCUGCAAAAGCCAUGAGUUUGCGAAGUGGAAAACAAGUUGGAUUUGAUCCCCAACCGUCCAAUUCACGUUCCAACGAAGUUGAAGAGUUGAUAAUUGAAGAGGAUGAGCAAAACACCCCCACGGCAAGGGUGGAAACAUCUUUGCUGUAUGCCCCAAAAGCCCCUAAACCAUCCAAUUCGGCCAACAAAGGUAAGGAAGUUCCAAUUUUGAUUAAUUGUAAUGUUAUUCAUCCAAAUGUACCCUUUCCUCGUAGGUUUAAGCAAUCAAAGAAGGAGGAGGCUGAAAAGGAUAUUUUGGAAACGUUUAGAAAAGUUCAAGUCAAUAUACCACUUUUGGAUGCAAUUAAGCAAGUUCCAAGGUAUGCCAAGUUUUUGAAAGAACUUUACACAACUAGGAAGAUUAUUUCAAGCAAGGAGGUUGUCAAGGUAAGUGAAAAUGUCUCAGCUAUUUUACAGCGUAAACUGCCCACUAAAUGCAAGGAUCCGGGUAGUUUUACCAUUCCUUGUGUAAUUGGGAAUACUUGUUUUGAAUCUGCCAUGUUAGACUUAGGUGCAUCUAUAAAUGUCAUGCCUUAUUCAAUCUAUGCAUCUAUGCACUUAGGUGAAUUAAAAAAGGAUGGUGUGAUUAUACAAUUGGCCGAUAGAUCUAAUGCCUAUCCAAAGGGAGUUUUGGAAGAUGUUUUAGUGCAGGUCAUUCACUUAAUCUUUCCGGCGGAUUUCUACGUGCUUGAAAUGGACGAGUCGGACCACUCCCCUACCCUCUACAUUACCCAUCCUCCUUGGACGGCCAUUCAUGAAAACUGCCUGUACUAAGAUUGAUGUGUUUAAUGGAACUUUGACGAUGGAAUUUGAAGGGGAAGUUAUCAAUUUCAAUCUUUCUGAUUCUAUCAAGUAUCCUAAUGAGGAUCACUCAUGUUUUUCUAUUGAUGUAUUUGCUUCUUUGGCGUAGGACCAUUUUGAACAAUUGAAUGACGAUGCACUUGAAUUGGUCAUUGCACGAGGAAUGGACAUUCAAAACAAUGAAGCAGUAAACCAUACAUCCCCACAGCAUGAAUGAUUGUUCCUUUGCCGUACCCCCUAAUGAAGACAUGAUUGAGAUGGUGGCUGCCCUCGAAUUAUUGCCACUACAAUCUAGUAAGUUUUUGGACCCGAUAUCCAUUUCAGUUUUGACUAAUAAGUUACUUCCUUCAGUUAUGCUGCCACCUACAUUUGAACUUAAGACAUUGCUAAGCCAUUUAAAGUAUGUUUUCUUGGGCGAUGAUGAGACGUUGCCCGUCAUCAUCUCAAGCACACUCACGACACAAGAGGAGAACAAGUUGGUAAGGAUGCUAAGGGAGUACAAAACAGCAAUUGGGUGGACAUUGGCUGACAUAAAAGGAAUCAGUUCCACCACUUGCAUGCAUCGCAUACUUUUGGAGGAGAGGUCUAAAACAUCUCGAGAAGCUCAACGCCGACUCAACCCUCCGAUGAUGGAAGUUGUGAAGAAGGAAAUAAUCAAGCUUUUAGAUUGUGGAGUGAUCUAUCCUAUUUCUGAUAGUCGUUGGGUUUCGCCUAUUCAAUGUGUCCCAAAGAAAUCCGGAGUAACUGUGGUGACAAAUGCCGAAAAUGAGCUUGUGCCUACUCGAAUCCAAACAGGUUGGAGGGUGUGUAUCGAUUACAGGAAGCUAAACGCCACCACUAGGAAGGACCACUUCCCUUUGCCAUUCAUUGAUCAAAUGCUUGAGAGGUUGGCGGGUUAUGCUUUCUAUUAUUUUCUUGAUGGUUAUUUUGGUUAUAAUCAAAUUGUCAUAACACCUGAGGACCAAGAAAAAACCACUUUCACAUGCCCUUUUGGUACAUUUGCUUAUCGCCGCAUGCCAUUUGGUUUAUGUAAUGCACCUGCCACAUUUCAAAGAUGCAUGAUGAGCAUAUUUUCUGAUUAUGUUGAGAAAAUUAUUGAAGUUUUUAUGGAUGAUUUCAGUGUUUUUGGUGAUUCAUUUGAUGGUUGUUUGCAUAAUCUUAGUUUGAUCUUAAAACGAUGUGUUGAAACUAACCUUGUUCUCAAUUGGGAAAAAUGUCAUUUCAUGGUUAAACAAGGCAUAGUUUUAAGACAUAUCAUCUCUGAAAAAGGAAUGGAGGUUGAUUAAUCAAAGAUCGAUCUUGUACGUCACUUACCCUCUCCUACUUCGGUUAGAGAGGUUCGUUAUUUUCUUGGACAUGCAGGUUUCUAUCGAAGAUUUAUCAAAGAUUUCUCAAAGGUUUCCCAACCUCUUUGCCGUCUCCUUCAAAAGGAUGUGGCAUUUGACUUCAAUAAGGAGUGCACGACAUCCUUCAAACAACUCAAGGAGUUGCUGACCACGGCUCCCAUUAUUGUUCCACCGGAUUGGAGCCUUCCUUUUGAGCUCAUGUGUGACGCAUCCGAUUAUGCUUUAGGGGUUGUUUUAGGACAAAGGAAGGAUAAAAGGCCGCAUGUCAUCUACUAUGCUUCACGGACGUUGAAUGUUGCCCAAUUAAACUAUUCCACAAUGGAAAAAGAACUUCUUGCCGUUGUCUUUGCUUUAGAUAAAUUUCGAUCAUAUUUAAUUGGUACUAAAGUAAUUGUUUUCACUGAUCAUGCAGCUUUAAAAUAUUUGCUCAGCAAGAAGGAGGCCAAGCCAAGGCUAAUUCGAUGGAUAUUGCUUCUCCAAGAGUUCGACAUUGGGAUUCGAGACAAAAAGGGAAGUGAAAAUGUGGUGGCUGACCACCUAAGCCGUAUGAUGCAUAAUGAGGAGUCCCUACCCAUUGCUGAAACGUUUCCUGAUGAACAAUUGAUGUCCAUUAAUGUAAGUGAACCUUGGUAUGCUGAUUUUAUGGGUCCUUUUCCUUCCUCACAUGGUUUCCUUUAUAUCUUACUUGCUGUGGAUUAUGUAUCGAAAUGGGUGGAAGCAAAAGCCACCCAAACUAAUGAUUCUCGGGUGGUUGCAGAUUUCAUUAGAACUAACCUAUUUGCAAGGUUUGGAAUGCCACGAGUAAUCAUCAGUGAUGGAGGUUCUCACUUUUGCAAUCGAACCAUUGCAGUGUUGUUGAGGAAGUACAAUGUCAACCAUAAGGUUUCUACACCUUACCAUCCUCAAACCAAUGGGCAAGCCGAGGUGUCUAAUAGGGAGAUCAAGCAGAUUCUAGAGAAGACCAUUGGGCCAACAAGAAAGGAUUGGAGCUUGCGUUUGGAGGAUGCGUUGUGGGCAUAUCGCACGGCAUAUAAACCACCCCUUGGCAUGUCCCCAUUUCGGCUCAUCUAUGGCAAACCAUGCCAUCUUCCCGUAGAAUUGGAGUACAAGGCGCAUUGGGCCGUCAAAACAUUUAACAUGGACCUUGAUGCCGCUAGAAUUCAUAGAAAGCUCCAAUUAAAUGAACUUGAAGAGAUUAGGCAUAAGGCUUAUGAAAACGCCCGAAUUUACAAGGAGAAGACGAAGGCUUUCCAUGACAAGAUGAUUCGAGGCAAAUCAUUCUCUAUUGGGCAGAAAGUGUUACUCUUUAAUUCCUGCCUUCGCUUGUUUCCUGGUAAGUUGCGUUCCAACUGGAUUGGUCAUUUUGUCGUUACUAAUGUUUUUUCUCAUGGUGCAGUCCAAAUACAAAGUUUGAAGACACAACAAGAAUUCAAGGUAAAUAGGCAUCGUUUGAAGCCCUAUUAUGAGGCCUUUAAGGAGCAAGUCGUGGAGAAUGUACCCCUCCAUGCCGUGGGCCCUGUUCAAGCUUAAAUGGUGGUAUCGUCCGGCUGGAAGACGUUAAAGCAAGCGCUUCUUGGGAGGCAACCCAUGUAUUCAAAUGAGGAAUAUUUUUGAAUCGCUCCACAAGCAGUUUUGCGUUUCUAAAAACCUUCCAUUUUUUUGCAUUUUUAUUUUGCCUGAUUGUCAUUUUUUUUAUUUAUUUGUUUGUUGCUUAUUUAAUUAUUUUUGGGUUUGGAUUUAUUUUUGAGACAUUGACAGAUAUGCAAAGUAUUUUCACAUUAAAAUUCAUGGAAAAGAAACAGGAGACAGAAAAAUACAAGAAGGAGCCUUCACAAAGGCUGUUUGGGAGAAGUCUCAGUAGUUGGCGGAGCCUCCGCAGUUGGCGGGGCCACAGAAGGAGGAGGUAUCGGAGGUUGAUCAUUUGGAGCUUCACUGCGCGGUACAGCCCCAGAAGACGAAGGCAAAUGCUGUUGGAACAAACCCACAAACCUCCGAUGAUCAAGUAAAAUCUGACCAUCAGAUUCCUGCAUCUGGUCAAUUUUCCUCUUCAUGUUUGUGGCAUAGUUGUGUGCGAGCUUGUGCAAUUGUUUAUUCUCAUGCUUGAGCCCUCUAAUCUCCUGUUUGAGACUCAUCCCUUCAGCCGUCAACGAUUCAACUUGACGGGUUCGAGCAAAUAGGCGUUGGGCCAUGUUGGACACAGAACUCGCACACUGCACACUAAGGGCCAGAGACUCUUUAACAGCCAACUCAUCAGACCGUUUGGAAAGCGGUUUGUUAUCUUUAGGAGUGACAAGGUUCCGGGCCACCACCGCAGCAGUCAGGUCAUUCUUCAUCACCGAAUCCCCAAUGGUAAGAGGACCAGUAGGGGAUAUGAAGGAUGGGUGCCAUAUAUUAUCUGGAGAAGGCAUGGCAGCAUCUUCACCAAGGUUCAAGUCAAAACGACGGUCGGAAGGGCCACAUUUUCAAAGGUGUUGAAGAAAGAAGAGGUCGGACAAGUCAAGAUCUUAGAAGUGCAAGAAGGGAGUUUCUACAAGCGCAAAUUCAAGUGUGCUUUGAAAUGAACUGCGUGCCUCUAUAAAAAUCAACACUCGACGGGAUUUCAGAUAUCGAAGAAGCGAGCUCAGAAUUCAAAGAGGUUAAUUCAAAAAUCGAAGAGGCGCUAGCUUUCUCAAAAGUUGGGCUUACUCAGAAACCACGGGCCAUCCUCUUUUCCAGAUUUGUCCGCACUCGUCACAUGCAACCUCUACACUCGACGAAGCUCAGAACUCAAAGAGGCAAACUCAGAAAUCGGAGAGCCAUCUGCUUUUCCAGACGUGUCAGCAUCGGUCACAAGCACACUCAGCUUUGCGAAAAUCACAGGCAGUUUAUCGUAGCACCGAUUCCAGAUAUCGAAGAGGCAUCUGCUUUAUCCAGAUGUGUCAGCAUCUGUCACAUGCACACUCAGCUUGCAUAAAUUACGGGCAAUCUGUCGAAGAUUUCUGGUGAAGUAGAAAGCACGUGAAGUCUACUGUUCAAUCAUCCAACGGUUGCAGACAAGGGUGAAAGAAUAGUACCGGUUAUUAUUUCCAAUAAAUGUCGACCUUCACCCUCUAUAGCAAGGCAGACAUACAUAACCUUCCGUCAUCUCCGAGAAUGCCUUCCCAACGAAGCCUCUCAAAUCACUCAGUGUUCCUUAUUCCUUGGGGUACCUUUGCAAACAACUCAUCCAGAGUAAAAGUAUUUCAUAUCAUGAAGGUUGAAAGCAAGAGUAUCUCAUAUCAUACUUUCUUCCUGUCCUUCUCCUUGUCGUUGUUUGGGACAAGGAGAAAGAGAGCAAUCAGCCAGCACUUAGUAUCAAUCUUCCGAUCUGGAACCGACUGCCUGGAACCCCUUCCUGAUUGCUUACCUAGCCUUGCUUCCGAGUACUCAUCUUUAUCAUCUUAUGCUUCAUCUUUAUCUACCACAUCUGCCUGGGGAACAAAUAAGGGAAGUGAAAAUGAUACCUCGAAGCAUGUGGAGACAAUUUGCCAAUUCAUCCUCAGCUAGGGACAAGGAGAAAGAAACCAAGAGGUGGGCACUUGGAAAGAUUGAAGAAAGAAACAGACCAACACCUCUACCUCGUGUCUGCCUGCUGUGCAGAAGAAACAAGCAGAGAAGAAUGCAGACUGCACAAUCAAAUCAACCCAGCCGAAAGAGUCUAAUUUGAAACCAAGGAACUCUGAUAUUCCUCGCUCAGAAUUCCAAACCAGUUCGAGAUCAAAGUUGUGGAAAGUCAACAAGAUCAUCUAUCUCCAAAACCAGAUUUGCGUUCUUAAACUCUACUCUGUCUGUUUUUUGUUUUACUUUGCUAUACUUGUCAUGUUUAUUCGUUGUUUGUUUAUUUGCUUGUUUUUGUGUGAGUUUAUGCUUGAAACAUUGAGGACAAUGUUUGAUUUAAGUGUGGGGGGGAUAACCAUUGUUUUGCAUGAAAUUCGUAGGAGUUUAUCACCCAUUACUUCUAAUGUUGUUCCUUGCUGUUUUAAGUGUUUUUAAGCUGUUUUGGAGUGUUUCAGUGUGUGUUGACAUAAAAAUCCGAAAAUCUCAUAAAAAUUUGAAAAAUUGUUUUGAAAAACCCAAAAAGAGUUGUUUUUGUAUGUUUAUUUGGGUCUUAGGGUACCUUCCAACACAAUGAUGAGGAUUUGGUUUUUAAUUACAUGACUGUUAAAGAGAGUUAUAAACAUGGAUGAAAAUUUGAUUUACUCUUUGGUGUAUGCUUGGUUGUGGUUAAAUUUAUGAAUUCACAUGCAAUCAUAAAAGAAAAAUCAGUUUUGUAACAUGCUUGAAGGAAGGAACUCAAAUUAACGCUACAACCUUGUGAGACUCGAGCCUAAAACGUUUAUUUGGAGAGUUAAUAAUUUGUGCAUUCUUGUUUUCUAAAGUCGUUGCAUGAUCUCAUUAUUCUUUGCUUGGUUACUACUUAGAAGGCGUUUCAUCAUUUAGUUCCAAAUGCUAGAACUCAUGCCCAUUUCAUUCAAAGCAUGCUAUUGAUUUAAAUAACACAUAUUCAAGAUGAAGUUGUGUAGUGACCACCACCAAAGCCAAACUGUCGUGUAUCCUACUUCAUUAUAUGUUUAAGUUUAACCCCGUUGAGUUUUGUGUAGCCUAUGUUCUUUGUUAACCCACACUGUCCUCACCUAGCCUAGAUUUGAACCAUCCAUACCCUUGUUCUUGAAGCAUAGUAAAGCAUGACUCAAAAUGAAUUCCUUUUUAUUAAUGUAUUGCAGAAAACAAGUGUGGGGGAAGUGAUUCUUGUUGUGUGUGUGUGCCAAAACCCUUAAUAAGGCAUGGGUAGGAAAGAAAGAGAAAAAGAAAAAUUCGUGGAAAAUAGAAUGAAAUGAAGAAAAGUUGUGAAAAAGAGCUUUAAAGUGUUGUUUGUUGAAGAAAGGGUCCAAAAAACAUUAAAUUCGGCCCUAAGUGUUGCAUGAAUCUUCCCUUUGUAUUUAAAAGUUGAUUCUGCAUUCUAAAGUGAAUUCCAAGUGUCGAUUUCAUUGCUUUGCUUACUAUCGCUUUAAGAACGUUUGUUACCCCUAUCCUUUCUUUGUUAGCCAUUACCCCCAAACCCUGUUACAACCCUUGACUUCAAUCUUGAGUGUUGUGCGUUUCAAUUUGUGGAGUCUGAAAUUGGUAUGAGCAUAUGGUGUCACUGGUUCUCGCAUCUAAGUAGUAGCAUCCCAUUCAUGAGAUCAUAUUUAAACAUGCUUAUUAACUCCAGAAAAUUGCUUUCUUGUUGUAACAUAUGUGAGUACUAGUCUUUCAUGUUUACAUCAAUCUUCUCACAUAUAACUAGUGUAGGGUGUGUAGUCAGAAAAUGUGUGUGAAAGUGUAGUCAGAAAAUGUGUGUGAAAAUAGAGAGUAUCUUGCAAGGAAUUGAGCAAAUUCUCUAAGGCAUGUUACUACAUUCAAAACAUUGUUUUAAUUGGUUAAUUGUGAAUUAGUAAGUAGUGACUGUGAUUAAGUAUGUGCUCAAGUGUGAAGAUAACUAAAAUCUAUGGGAAUAAUGAUUUUUAACAUGUCAUGUGCGUUGGAAAUCCCUGAGGCAAACAUUGGAAGGUUUAGGCUGUGUUUUGUUUUCUUUAUUUUGCUCGAGGACUAGCAAAAGCUAAGUGUGGGGGAAUUUGAUAGGAGCAUAUUUAUGUGACUUAGUUAACAUGUUUUCUUGCACUUACUUAGUUAGUUAUUGCUUAUAAGAGUGUUUUAAAUCAUUUUCGUAUGUUUGUAGGUCCUAAUAACAAAGUUGGCAGGAAAAGUGCAUUUUGGUGCAUUUUGGAGCAAUUUUGGGCGGAAAUGGAUUGCAUGCACUUGGAGACAUGAGGAUGGACGUUUUGGGAAGAUUAGAAUUCAGCAUAUGUGUGUGCAAAUGGGCAAAGGAAACACACACACAUGGGCAAAGAGAAAAGCACACAUGGACAGCUUGGCAUGGACAGGUUGGAGGGGAGAAAAUGUGUUUGUUUUGUGCUUGAAAUGAUGAGGAACAUGCGUGUGCAAAUGGGCAAAGGAAACACACACACAUGGGCAAAGGAAACACACACACAUGGGCAAAGGAAAGGCAUGGCAUGGGCAGAAAAUACACCACUACAUUCACUCAUUACCACAACACUCACCCUUGUCCCCUUCAUUAUUUCUGUUUUCAUGCACCAUUACAUUUAAUCAUUGCACUCAAGUGGUGCACAUCCCUUGUCCCCUUCACCCAUCAGAUUUCAUUCACUUUCACCUCCACUACAUGCACUCAUUGAUGCACCACUCCUCCACUUUCCUUGCCCAUGCCGUGCAUCAUGAAUACACCUGCACCUAUGACUCAUUUUUGCACCAUUCCACCUCCCUUUCCUUUAUCUACCAUGUGCGCACUCAUUCAUGUUCCCCACUUGCAUUCAUAGCUACAACACCACUCCAUUUCACCCUUCAUGCUUUGCAUCAUUACUUCACUUUCACCUUUGAAUCAUUGCUAACACCACCAUCCAUCCCUUCAUGCCAUGCACUUCCUCUAUAAAAGGAAGUGUGUGUGGCAGCCAUUACAUAGAGUUUUUUUUGCUACAGAAUUCAUCCUCAUUUCGAUACAACCUUUAUCCAAACACUUCCAUUCAUCCUCACAU